AGAUCAAAGCAUUUCAACUUUGGAAAGUCAUUUUUUCGGUUUCUUUAGAUUAAUCCUACAUAUCCAAUAUAUUUUAUUUGACUCAAGCAGUUGAUAUAUAUACCAUGAUGCAAAUAAGUAUACAUGCGUCGAUCUACUAUCUGUGAUGUUUAAUGUUUGCAAAUCCUAACAUCCCCUAUAUGUCAAAGAUAACGUUCAGGAUAAGCAUGAGUGUCCACAAGCAGAUAUAGCUAAUCUAGUAACCGCAGACAGCAUUGCUCUUAAAUUGUAAAUCUCUAAUGUCUACUUCGAACCUGAGUUGUAUAGUUCACGGUUAAUGUCAUUAUGCUUAAAUUCAAAUCAAUUCUCUCAAGUGAAAUAAAUUUUAUGAAACUAAGGGACACAACUCUUUUAAUGCAAACGAAACAAACCGUCAG
rnacentral:lncRNA from 1 species